CGUCAUUGUCUGCAGUAACGUCGCCACAACUUCUACGUCGAAACUCUAUUAUACCGUACAAUGUCGUAGCAAUGGCGUGCGUGUGUAUUACUCAUCUUCCUAUGUAUUACAAAUGAUCUACGCUAUAAUUUGAUAAGGAAAUAAACUAACUAAUUUUAAAGAAUAUUUCUGUCGCAAAAGAAAAUGCAAGUUUGUAAAUUAAUUUACCGCAAAUGAAAGAAAUUUACCGUAGACUCUAAUUUCAUCUUUUCUAUAUUAGAGUGAUUUCCGAACCUUUUUUCAAUGCUGGCAUGGAUUGUUUAAUUCUUUUAUGAAUCAAAUAUCGAGUUUGAAUUUGUCCCGGUUAACACAGUGUUGUCAGAAUGAAUUGAUCGGCUUUAAUACUAAGAUCGGGUAUACACCUCGUUUUCAAUCUUACUUCUGCAUGUUUGUAUUUAAAAAAGUAGACCUAUUUUCUGCAUAUUUUCAUGUUCGUCAUUUCUGCAUGUUGUUAAUCUGAGGAUUUGCACACAAUAUAGUCUACAUUAUAAACCUAUUUCAUUAGUCAUGUUUACACACAUGCUCAAGACGCAUCUCUGCCAAAACAUAUUUUAUUUUACAAAAUUUCCAAUCUCGAUCACUUUCCCUUUUCUUUAACUAAAUGACAAAGAAUGAUGUAAUGUU
rnacentral:lncRNA from 1 species